UACUUGACAAAAUGAGCGUGAAGCGUAUGUCCCAUGUAUCAGUUUAUAUGAUGAGACGAAAGUGUUUCUAUUGGUUGGGUGAUCUGCCAAUUCGUUCGUCGACGUACCAAGUUGUAAAUACGACGACCGUAUGAUUUUUAACCUCACAUUCAUUCAUGUUUAUAUAUUAGAUUUUAUGCUGAAUUUAUUGCAAACCAAGGAAAGUUAAAGGGACAAAGAUUUUGAGUUCCAGGCAGAUUUCAUCGACAAACAAAACAUCUUAUGGUUUCUGUGAUUCCUAUCGAAAAACAAACAUUAAAUGUACUACAUAUCAGUA